AACGCACAUUGCGCCCUUUGGUAUUCCUUAGGGCAUGCCUGUUCGAGCGUCAUUUAAACCUUCAAGCUCAGCUUGGUGAUGGGUGACUGUCCCCUCCCUUCGCGGGGGGACUCGCCUCAAAAACAUUGGCGGCCGGUACAUUGGCUUCGAGCGCAGCAGAAACGCGGUCUCGAGCCCGGUGGAUCGGCUCCCAAAAGCCUCAUUCUUUAUUUUGACCUCGGAUCAGGUAGGGAUACCCGCUGAACUUAA
rnacentral:misc_RNA from 1 species